GACGAACGCUGGCGGCGUGCUUAACACAUGCAAGUCGAACGGAAAGGCCCCUUUGGGGGUACUCGAGUGGCGCACGGGUGAGUAACACGUGAGUAACCUGCCCUUGACUUCGGGAUAACUUCAGGAAACUGGGGCUAAUACCGGAUAGGAAUCCUUGCUGCAUGGUGGGGGUUGGAAAGCUUCGGCGGUUUUGGAUGGACUCGCGGCUUAUCAGCUUGUUGGUGGGGUAGUGGCUUACCAAGGCUUUGACGGGUAGCCGGCCUGAGAGGGCGACCGGCCACAUUGGGACUGAGAUACGGCCCAGACUCCUACGGGAGGCAGCAGGGGGGAAUAUUGAACAAUGGGCGGAAGCCUGAUGCAGCAACGCCGCGUGCGGGAUGACGGCCUUCGGGUUGUAAACCGCUUUCAGCAGGGGCGAAGCUUGUGGUGACGGUACCUGCAGAAGAAGCACCGGCUAACUACGUG
rnacentral:rRNA from 1 species